UCGUCUUAGACGGUUAAAUUACGGGUUCCAUUCACGUAUUUUACCUUUCCAAGGCAUAAUCUUCAUUCAUAUUAGCGAAACAAAUAAAUUUGAAAUAAAAUCUGUUCCGAUUUUGUCACAUUUUCUACUUUAUCACCCCAAAAAAGGGGUCACACAAAGUGUGUAAUGUUCAAUAAAUGCCUUCGUUACAGAGCCCACGACAAUAAAAAUAACUACUUAUAAAAUACAUAUACCACACUGAUAAAAAUUAUAUAGUAACAGUAACUAUUCACUCGCGUUUAAUUUUACUAUGGCCAUGCGCCACAAUCUAAUAGUAAAACUAACUACAAUUCCAUUUAUUCUGAACUACAGCGAAGGUUACUGCACAGGUAUCUAGAGCACCCAUAGUAAAUUUAAACAUGCAAUUCAGUUCCCGCUAGCCUCGCCACGAUUUGUGAUUUUUGUUGUUUUUAGCAGUUUUCCACUUCACGCCAUCUUCAUUAAACAAAAACUGGUGCCGCAUUCAUAUUGACCUCACAUGCUCACAUAUAAGCAUUAUUGGUAUUCAUUACUGAAUGCUUUGACGGCUUUGAAGGACAUUCCUUGUUAAAAGGUUCCCGCGGAUUCUAUCCUAGAAAAAAUACACAAGUUCCAGUCGAAGUAGCCGUAGAUAGAUAAUGUUGAGCCGAAAAACCAUCCUGCUCAUCAAGCAACAACAUAUUUUCAUCACUUGUUUCUUCACCAUCGGAGAAGAAAAACCACAUAACAAUGAAUGAUUGGCGAGGAAUCUCCGCGAUUUUUGUCUUGCAUUACUAAUCCUUAGCAUGAAGUGUAUUAUUAUUUAUCAAUAAGGAAUAUGUCUAAAUUAACUAUCCUAUAUUUCUCCUGGAACAUCAC